rnacentral:rRNA from 1 species
UGUCUAAGUAUAAAUGUUAUACAGUGAAACUGCGGAAUGGCUCAUUAAAACAGUUAUAGUUUAUUUGAUAAUCAAAUUUACAUGGAUAACCGUGGUAAUUCUAGAGCUAAUACAUGCUGUUAAGCCCGACUUUGAGGAAGGGCCGUAUUUAUUAGAUAACAAAUCAAUAUUCCUUGUGUCUAUUGUGACGAUUCAUAAUAACUGAUCGAAUCGCAUGGGCUUUGCCCGCGAUGCAUCAUUCAAGUUUCUGCCCCAUCAGCUUUCGAUGGUAGUGUAUUGGACUACCAUGGCUUUCACGGGUAACGGAGGAUUAGGGUUCGAUUCCGGAGAGGGAGCCUGAGAAACGGCUACCACAUCUAAGGAAGGCAGCAGGCGCGUAAAUUACCCAAUCCUGACUCAGGGAGGUAGUGACAAGAAAUAACGGACCGAAGCCUAUGUUUCGGGAUUGCAAUGAGUAGAAUUUAAACCCCUUUACGAGGAUCAAUUGGAGGGCAAGUCUGGUGCCAGCAGCCGCGGUAAUUCCAGCUCCAAUAGCGUAUAUUAAAGUUGUUGCAGUUAAAAAGCUCGUAGUUGGAUUUCUGGAGGGGUGCCAAUGUCCGAUUGUUUCGUGUGCAGCGGCGCCCUUCCAUCCUUCUGUUAACGUUUCUGAUAUUCAUUUAUUGGUCUCGGGCUCAGAUAUUUUACCUUGAGAAAAUUAGAGUGUUCCAGGCAGGCUUGCGCCGGAAUACAUUAGCAUGGAAUAAUAGAAUAGGACUUUAGUCUCCUUUGUUGGUUUGAGGGACUGAAGUAAUGAUUAAUAGGGAUAGUUGGGGGCAUUAGUAUUUAAUUGUCAGAGGUGAAAUUCUCGGAUUUGUUAAAGACUAACUUAUGCGAAAGCAUUUGCCAAGGAUGUUUUCAUUAAUCAAGAACGAAAAGUUAAGGGGAUCAAAGGACGAUCAGAUACCGUCCCUAGUCUUAACCAUAAACUAUGCCGAACUAGGGGAUCGGAGGCGUGCUUGAUCCGCCUUCGGGCACCUUAUGGAGAAUCAAGUCUUUGGUUCUGGGGGGGAGUCAUGGUCGCAAGGCUGAAACUUAAAGGAAUUGACGGAAGGGCACCACCAGGAGUGGAGCUUGCGGCUCAAUUUGACUCAACACGGGAAAACUUACCAGGUCCAGACAUAGUGAGGAUUGACAGAUUGAUAGCUCUUUCUUGAUUCUAUGGGUGGUGGUGCAUGGCCGUUCUUAGUUGGUGGAGUGAUUUGUCUGGUUAAUUCCGUUAACGAACGAGACCUUAGCCUACUAACUAGUCGAUCCGUUGUUAAGCGGACACGACUUCUUAGAGGGACUUUGUGACUAAACACAAGGAAGUUUGAGGCAAUAACAGGUCUGUGAUGCCCUUAGAUGUCCUGGGCCGCACGCGUGCUACACUGACGCAUACAGCGAGUACUUCCCAGCUCCGUGAGGCAGCUGGUAAUCAGCAAUAUGCGUCGUGAUGGGGAUAGAUCUUUGGAAUUAUAGAUCUUGAACGAGGAAUUCCUAGUAAGCGCAAGUCAUUAGCUUGCGCUGAUUAAGUCCCUGCCCUUUGUACACACCGCCCGUCGCUCCUACCGAUUUCGAGUGAUCCGGUGAACCAUUUGGACCGCGCGGCCCUCGUGGUUGUGUGGAAAAUCUAGUAAACCAUAUCAC